GUCCCUGUAGCUCAACUGGACAAGAGCGCCGGAUUUCGACUCCGAAGGUUGCGGGUUCAACUCCUGCCGGGGAUGCCA
rnacentral:tRNA from 1 species